GUUUUUAUAAUUUAACAAAAAUAUUGGUUUUGUAAACCAAAAAUAAAAAGAAAUUUUUUAAAAACA
rnacentral:tRNA from 1 species